AAUCUUCCCCAAUGGGCGAAAGCCUGAGGGAGCGAUGCCGCUUGAGGGAUGAAGCCCUUCGGGGUGUAAACCUCUGAACGGGGGACGACCACGACGGUACCCCGGUAAUAGCACCGGCUAACUCCGUGCCAGCAGCCGCGGUAAUACGGAGGGUGCAAGCGUUACCCGGAUUCACUGGGCGUAAAGGGCGCGUAGGCGGCCUGCUCAGUCCGGCGCUAAAGCCCGGGGCUCAACCCCGGAAGCGCGCUGGAUACUGGCGGGCUCGACGACUGGAGAGGGCAGCGGAAUUCCCGGAGUAGCGGUGAAAUGCGCAGAUACCGGGAGGAACGCCAAUGGCGAAGGCAACUGCCUGGACAGCCCGUGACGCUGAGGCGCGAAAGCGUGGGGAGCAA
rnacentral:rRNA from 1 species